UAGUUUAAGUGAGAAUACUAGCUUUGGGGGCUAGAGAUGGGGUAUCCCUUUUUGA
rnacentral:tRNA from 1 species